rnacentral:rRNA from 1 species
UACGGGGGGAGCAAGCGUUGUUCGGAUUUACUGGGCGUAAAGGGCGCGUAGGCGGCGCAACAAGUCACUUGUGAAAUCUCCGGGCUUAACCCGGAGCAGUCAAGUGAUACUGUCGUGCUAGAGUGCGGAAGGGGCUACUGGAAUUCUCGGUGUAGCGGUGAAAUGCGUAGAUAUCGAGAGGAACACCUGCGGCGAAGGCGGGUAGCUGGGCCGACACUGACGCUGAUGCGCGAAAGCCAGGGGAGCGAACGGG